rnacentral:rRNA from 1 species
UACGUAGGGGGCAAGCGUUAUCCGGAUUCACUGGGUGUAAAGGGAGCGCAGGCGGCGCGGCAAGUCCGAUGUGAAAACCCCCGGCUCAACCGGGGGACUGCAUUGGAAACUACCGGGCUGGAGUGCCGGAGAGGUAGGCGGAAUUCCUGGUGUAGCGGUGAAAUGCGUAGAUAUCAGGAGGAACACCAGUGGCGAAGGCGGCCUACUGGACGGUGACUGACGCUGAGGCUCGAAAGCGUGGGGAGCGAACAGG